UCUUAGUUUCAUGUUAGGGUGAUUGGUGCAGGAUAAUUGGCCUUCUGUGAUGUUUGCAAUGGCAGGAGGGGUGGUACUUAGCCUUGGAAAUCUCUCAACUCAGUAUGCUUGGGCUUUUGUUGGCUUAUCAGUCACAGAAGUGAUCACUGCAAGCAUAACAGUUGUUAUAUGUCCUUUCUUUCAUUCUCUCUCUCUCUAACCAUUUCUAAAUGUUGAUGUUUGUCUGUGUUGCUCUUAUAGAUACUGAAUUUUUUGCUUCUGUUGCGAUCUUUAAUGGUGACAGGAACAACCUUGAAUUACUUUUUAGACAAUAGAAUUAAUAGAGCCGAGAUCCUUUUCCCUGGUGUGGCUGCUUCUUGGUUGCAGUUUGCCUUGCUUCUACUGCCCACUCAUCUAAUGCAGCUGAUAAUAAAGAAAAGCUUGAAGGUUUUUAAUCUAAAGAGGGGUAUGUUUGAUUCAUUAAAUGUUAAGGUUAUCAAAGAAUUAUCUUGUUUCCAGGUGACAUUCUUCUUUCUUUUUAUUAGAAAGAGUUCUUUUUUCUAACUUUAUUUUUAGUUUUAUUGUAGAAAUUGGGCUAAACCUUAUAUUAAAGAUGCUAAAGAAGUUUCCAGGUAUAUUGAGAUGAUUUCUUUGGAGCAAUUCUUGACAACAUUUGUAGUUGAGGCCUUUAGAAUGGAAGAAUGUAUUUCACUAAUUUUUGUUUACAUUUCUUGUUUUGUAUUUAGUGAUAAAGGAAUCUGAAUUUGGCAUAAAUUAUGUUGUAAUAUGAUUUCUUAAGCCUAGACUAGUAGACUAAAUAUUGUAAUUACAUUUGAGUAAUUAAUAAAAAUCUAUUUAUGU